UUUUGGACAUAGUUCUCUGCAAGAAAGCAAAAGCUCCACAUGAUUUUGGCACUGUGGACUUCGAUAAAAGUGAUGAUGCAAGACAUUUUCCAAAAUGCUUAACCCUAUACUUUGUUUAAGUAUUACGAUUACAAAUUUAUUGUUAUCACUGAUUAAACAUUUCUGUAGGCACUAGAAAAUUGAUGAGAACUUGUAUGUUUAAGUGUAAGGUCUUGGCUAAUGUUGAUAUGUAGCAUGGAAAAAACAGGGCUGUAGUGUUUUGCGUCUUUUUAGCUGCAGGCUUGUAAUGUUUUGAUGAAAAAUAUUAUGUGGUUCACCAAAAUAAGAAAAGGGGGGAACUCGCCUAAUAAGAAUGGCCCCAUGCAUAAAACCGAAGCAAAGAACUUACCUGCCAUUCAAUUUUAUGAAUAUAAUGAUUACAAAUCCCCUUUACAAUUCAUCUUUAGAAAGUUGGUUUUGGGUCCCGACCCAAAACCAACUUUCUAAACUUUGGGUUGAUUAUUUAAUGAGGAAUGAAAUGAUUAUCGGUGAGGGUGGAGAUACUUCAUACUAAUACAUGUCUGUAUCAGGCAAAACAGUUGUGCGCAUGGUUGACAAAACAUAACUUUUCUAGUGCCAAAAUUAUAGUAUGGCUUUUCUAAGUGAUCUUACCUGAUUUAGGUGAUAUAUACUUUUUAUAUUUUGCAGGCUUGCCAAGGGAAAAGGAAUUGCUCCAUCAAAAUAUCAGACUCUGUAUUCGGUGGUGAGUGGGUGACCCCUGUUGUCUGUGGAGGCAUGAUGCACAACACCAUUGAGUGAUGGUUUCUUUCAAGAGGCUGUAAGCAGCUUCUAAAACGAGGUUCGGUGUGAACCUUGUGAACACUAGUCAACCAACUGGACAAUGUUACUGACCAGAAAUGGCCCUUAA
rnacentral:lncRNA from 1 species